CCAACCUGCUCUGAUCCCCUUCCGCUGUGGGAGGUUUGUUCUUUUGCUCUUUGCAAUAAAUCUUGCUGCUGCUCACUCCUUGGGUCCGCACUACCUUUAUAAGCUGUAACACUGACCACAAAUGUCUGCAGCUUCGCUCCUGAAGCCAGCGAGACCACAAACCCACCAAGAGGAACAAACAACUCCUGACGCACCACCUUUAAGAGCUGUAACACUCACUGCGAAGGUCUGCGGCUUCAAUCCUGAAGUCAGCGAGACCACGAACCUACCAGAAGGAAGAAACUCCAGACACAUCUGAACAUCUGAAGGAAGAAACUGGACACACCAUCUUUAAGAACUGUAACACUCACUUCGAGGGUCCGCGGCUUUAUUCUUAAAGUCAGCGAGACCAAGAACCCACUGGAAGGAACCAAUUCUGGACACACCAGGAGCUGGAGACGAGCCUGGGUGUGCAACACAGAGAGACAAGACCCCCAUCUGUACCAAAAA
rnacentral:lncRNA from 1 species